UUAAAUUAUACGUCACUUUCACUUCUCCCCGUUAAUUUGUUUACAUCUCAAAGAACUUGAGGAGAAAGCGGUGAAAUCAAACACUUUUGUCAGUUCUUUCCACGUUUAUUAAUCGAUAAGCACGAACCUAACCUAAUUUCGACCGACAAUUUCCUGUUGGACAGGAAACAACAAAAUUCUGGGCGUUUUCGACGACUUUUUACCAUUAUAAAUGCAACGAUGUAUCCUUUUUAAAAUGUAUCCUUUUAUUAAAUAGUAUUAGGAAUAGUGACGCUUUGACAAUUGUCGUGAAUUGGGUAAUAUUUCGGACGUAAUUUUGCAGGUGGUGAUUCAAUAAAGCUGUGGGAUUUCCUGCACAUAUUGCUAAACGAUCCGCAACGGAAAUAUCGUCCUUACAUCGUAUGGAAGGACAAGACGCAUGGAAUAUUCAAAAUAGAGGACACAGCAAAAAUCGCCAACUUAUGGGGGCACAGGAAGAAUUUCAAGAACAUGAACUAUGACAAGAUGUCCAGAUCAUUCAGGUAUUAUUACAAGAAGAAAAAGAUGAGAAAAGUACCAAACGAACAGAAAGUUUACCAGUUUUUAUAUGGGGGUGAAACAGAUGAUUUUUAUGAUAUGAUAAUAAAAGAAGAAUCUUGGUGUUAAUUAUUUAAAGUUUUAAUAUAAAUUGGAAUGUAUAUAGUAUUUUAUGUAAAACGGAAUUCAUAAUUAUGGAUUUAAAUGUGUAAAUAUAAGUAAUUUUAAUAAAGCAUACAUUUUUAGUACUGA